UACGAGGGGGGCGAGCGUUGUUCGGAUUCAUUGGGCGUAAAGGGUGCGUAGGUGGCGCGGUAAGUCGGGUGUGAAAUCUCGGAGCUUAACUCCGAAAUUGCAUUCGAUACUGCCGUGCUCGAGGACUGGAGAGGAGACUGGAAUUCAUGGUGUAGCAGUGAAAUGCGUAGAUAUCGUGAGGAAGACCAGUGGCGAAGGCGGGUCUCUGGACAGUUCCUGACGCUGAGGCGCGAAGGCCAGGGGAGCAAACGGG
rnacentral:rRNA from 1 species